UCGAACGGAAAGGCCCUGCUUGCAGGUACUCGAGUGGCGAACGGGUGAGUAACACGUGGGUGAUCUGCCCUGCACUUCGGGAUAAGCCUGGGAAACUGGGUCUAAUACCGGAUAGGAGCCAUUUUUAGUGUGAUGGUUGGAAAGUCUUUUCGGUGUAGGAUGAGCUCGCGGCCUAUCAGCUUGUUGGUGGGGUAAUGGCCUACCAAGGCGGCGACGGGUAGCCGGCCUGAGAGGGUGGACGGCCACAUUGGGACUGAGAUACGGCCCAGACUCCUACGGGAGGCAGCAGUGGGGAAUAUUGCACAAUGGGCGCAAGCCUGAUGCAGCGACGCCGCGUGGGGGAUGACGGCCUUCGGGUUGUAAACUCCUUUCGCUAGGGACGAAGCUUUUUGUGACGGUACCUAGAUAAGAAGCACCGGCUAACUACGUGCCAGCAGCCGCGGUAAUACGUAGGGUGCGAGCGUUGUCCGGAAUUACUGGGCGUAAAGGGCUCGUAGGUGGUUUGUCGCGUCGUCUGUGAAAUUCCGGGGCUUAACUCCGGGCGUGCAGGCGAUACGGGCAUAACUUGAGUACUGUAGGGGUAACUGGAAUUCCUGGUGUAGCGGUGAAAUGCGCAGAUAUCAGGAGGAACACCGAUGGCGAAGGCAGGUUACUGGGCAGUUACUGACGCUGAGGAGCGAAAGCAU
rnacentral:rRNA from 1 species